rnacentral:sRNA from 1 species
AAAAAACACUAAAAACACUACGUCACAUACAUAUUGAUCGGCAUAUCAAUUAGGUGUCUGAGAAGGCCACGAGGAGAGGGUUGACAUUUGAUUUUUGACUUUUAAGGGUUUAGGAUGAACAUGAAGGAACAUGGCUCUUAAUGAAUCUGCAUUGAAUAUUUAGGUUCUGUUAUUUCAUCUUCUUAUUUCGCAAAAAUAUUUAUCUACUGUUUUAUUAAAGUAAUUUUUUUUGUUGUUAACUAAGUUUAAACAUAAAUAUGUAUAUAUAGACCAUUUCGUAAAUUUGUACUAACUGUUUCGGCACUAUUAAAUCAUCUUUUUCAAAAGAAAAUCAUUUUUUUGCGAUUAUAUUGUCGGAACUGUGUAAGUGAGGAAAAAACACAAAGAAAAAUCAUAUAUUGAUUUGUAGGGUCUGAAACCAAGUCUUUAAAACCUUUUGGACGUAGCGGACCGAAUGUCAGACAGGAUAGGACCCAUGGACCCGAGAAAGGACGUAGGUGCUCACUAGCAUGGGCGGUCAGGAAAUUACAUAUAUAUUGUAAGAAUGUUAAAACUAGCUACUGGAUAGCUAUAGACCCUAUUUUAAAAACUUUGUUCAAGUUGCAUUAUGUGAAGUCCGAUUAUUUUCUCAAACAAAACGAAUCUGUAUUUCAAGUUGCAUUAUAUGAAAUUUUUAAUUUAAUCUUAUCUCAUGCAUCUGCAUGUUUUAAGAGCCUAAAAAGGCAACGAGGAAAGAGUUGACAU